AAGACUUUAAGUUAAAUUGAAACUUGUAGCCUUCAAAGUUAUUCAUAUCUGAUAAAAAUCUAGGUAAGUCUUA
rnacentral:tRNA from 1 species